rnacentral:rRNA from 1 species
UACGUAGGGGGCAAGCGUUGUCCGGAUUUAUUGGGCGUAAAGAGCGUGUAGGCGGCCAUACAGGUCCGUUGUGAAAACUGGAGGCUCAACCUCCAGACGUCGACGGAAACCGUAUGGCUAGAGUCCGGAAGAGGAGAGUGGAAUUCCUGGUGUAGCGGUGAAAUGCGCAGAUAUCAGGAAGAACACCCGUGGCGAAGGCGGCUCUCUGGGACGGUACUGACGCUGAGGCGCGAAAGCGUGGGGAGCGAACAGG